GACGAACGCUGGCGGCGUGCUUAACACAUGCAAGUCGAGCGGAAAGGCCACUUCGGUGGUACUCGAGCGGCGAACGGGUGAGUAACACGUGAGUAAUCUGCCCCUGGCUUUGGGAUAGCCACCGGAAACGGUGAUUAAUACCGGAUACGACCACUUCUCGCAUGGGAUGGUGGUGGAAAGUUUUUUCGGCCAGGGAUGUGCUCGCGGCCUAUCAGCUUGAUGGUGAGGUAAUGGCUCACCAUGGCUUCGACGGGUAGCCGGCCUGAGAGGGUGGCCGGUCACACUGGAACUGAGACACGGCUCAGACUCCUACGGGAGGCAGCAGUGGGGAAUAUUGGACAAUGGGCGGAAGCCUGAUCCAGCAACGCCGCGUGAGGGAUGACGGCCUUCGGGUUGUAAACCUCUUUCAGCAGGGACGAAGCGCAAGUGACGGUACCUGCAGAAGAAGCACCGGCCAACUACGUGCCAGCCGCCGCUGUAA
rnacentral:rRNA from 1 species